rnacentral:tRNA from 1 species
GGGUGUGUAGCUCAGUGGUAGAGCACAUGCUUAGUGGGAGGUUCUGGGUUCCAUCCCCAGCACCUUCA